CUUCGAUUCCAGCUAGGCUUUCGCCUGUUACCUCACUGGGGGCAUCAUCACCGGGAACAAGGCGUUCGGGGUGGCCGGUGAAAGUUUUCCUCCCAUUCACCAUGUGGCCCUGUUUGCUUUGACCCAUUUGAUGCCAUUGUCAUGCCCCAACUGAUAUGGACCUGCUUCUAUGCAGUUAACUGUGAUUUCACGCAGCGAUUUCAGAAUGGAUGAUCAGUCAGAGAUGCCGCCUCACGCCAUAGCCCCAUUGCGCUUCUGUCGCAUACCAAGUAGGAGUGUGGAACGGCAAAUUGACUUCCACCUCUUGCUGCUGCUGCAGCAUCACGAAGAUGAAGAUGAAGAAGAAGGAACACUAUCGUCAUUUUCCCACAAUGGGUCAUGGUUUCACGCAACCUUGCAAGUCCUUUCGCAACUCCAUUCACUUCAUCUCACACUCCCUCUUUUCUACACCCCCAAUAAUAGACUUGUGUGAAGUUCUAGAACCCAUUGUGCAUUGUACCCAGAUCCUCAUUCGCAUCGUGCACACUUUUUGGACAAAAAAAUAAAAACAAAUAAACCUUGUUUACAUAUCAUAAACAGCAAAAGUAGUGUGUAUGUGUGUUUUUUAUGGAGGUUUUUGUCUGUGUUUACUGCAAUGUUGCGUAAGUACUGUUUGUUGGUUGAUGUUCAUUAUAGUUCUAGUGAGAUUUGAAAGUGAUAUGCAA
rnacentral:lncRNA from 1 species